AUCUAUCAUGCGCUGCAACUUUGCUGCUUCCUUCUCAGUUUCGCAAUCUCUGUAUGCAUCUUGUAUCACCUGACCAAGGUCAUCAGUAGGGUCAUUUUCUGCAAACUCAUCUUCAUCAGCCUUGCCCAUUGUAGUACCUACAAAAGCUUGGCCUGCAACCCAGUUCGGAAUGGUGUCAUCUUCCUCCUCCUCCUCGCCAUCUUCCAUUACAACCCCUAGUUCACCGUGCUUGGU
rnacentral:lncRNA from 1 species